AGUGAACGCUGGCGGUAGGCCUAACACAUGCAAGUCGAACGGCAGCACAGGAGAGCUUGCUCUCUGGGUGGCGAGUGGCGGACGGGUGAGGAAUACAUCGGAAUCUACUCUGUCGUGGGGGAUAACGUAGGGAAACUUACGCUAAUACCGCAUACGACCUGCGGGUGAAAGCAGGGGACCUUCGGGCCUUGCGCGAUUGAAUGAGCCGAUGUCGGAUUAGCUAGUUGGCGGGGUAAAGGCCCACCAAGGCGACGAUCCGUAGCUGGUCUGAGGGGAUGAUCAGCCACACUGGAACUGAGACACGGUCCAGACUCCUACGAGAGGCAGCAGUGGGGAAUAUUGGACAAUGGGCGCAAGACUGAUCCAGCCAUACCGCGUGGGUGAAGAAGGCCUUCGGGUUGUAAAGCCCUUUUGUUGGGAAAGAAAUCCAGCUGGCUAAUACCCGGUUGGGAUGACGGUACCCAAAGAAUAAGCACCGGCUAACUUCGUGCCAGCCGCCGCAGUAA
rnacentral:rRNA from 1 species